rnacentral:rRNA from 1 species
AAUACUUUGGUGGCGACCGGCGCACGGGUGCGUAACGCGUAUGCAACCACCUUUAACAGGGGCAUAACACUGAGAAAUUGGUACUAAUUCCCCAUAACAUUCGAGAAGGCAUCUUCUUGGGUUAAAAACUCCGGUGGUUAAAGAUGGGCAUGCGUUGUAUUAGCUAGUUGGUGAGGUAACGGCUCACCAAGGCAACGAUACAUAGGGGGACUGAGAGGUUAACCCCCCACAUUGGUACUGAGACACGGACCAA